rnacentral:rRNA from 1 species
AUUGAACGCUGGCGGCAGGCUUAACACAUGCAAGUCGAGCGAGCGGCGGACGGGUGAGUAAUGUCUGGGCAACUGCCUGGUGGAUGGGGUUAACUACUGGAAACGGUAGCUAAUUCCGUAUACCAUCACAUGUGUCCAGUUGGGAUUAGCUAGUGGGUGGGGUAAUGGCUCACCUAGGCGACGAUCCCUAGCUGGUCUGAGAGGAUUACCAGCCACACUGGAACUGAGACACGGUCCAGACUCCUACGGGAGGCAGCAGUGGGGAAUAUUGCACAAUGGGCGCAAGCCUGAUGCAGCCAUGCCGCGUGUGUGAAGAAGGCCUUCGGGUUGUAAAGCACUUUCAGCGAGGAGGCGUUACUCGCAGAAGAAGCACCGGCUAACUCCGUGCCAGCAGCCGCGGUAAUAC